rnacentral:rRNA from 1 species
UACAGAGGUCUCAAGCGUUUGUUCGGAUUCAUUGGGCGUAAAGGGUGCGUAGGCGGCGCGGUAAGUCGGGUGUGAAAUCUUGGAGCUUAACUCCGAAACUGCAUUCGAUACUGCCGUGCUUGAGGACUGGAGAGGAGACUGGAAUUUACGGUGUAGCGGUGAAAUGCGUAGAUAUCGUAAGGAAGACCAGUGGCGAAGGCGGGGUCUCUGGACAGUUCCUGACGUGAGGCACGAAGGCCAGGGGGAGCAAACGGG